rnacentral:lncRNA from 1 species
CCCCACCCAUCCCAGCUUUCUUCCUCACAGGCGCCAUUGGCGACCGCCCAACGAGCACCUCCCCCCCACCCACCUUCUACCGCGGAGCGGCCCCGUGGGUUCCUCCCCAAUCACCACCCCAUCCUUGCGCCGGCCCGUGGGCAGCCGGAUCCAGUCCGCCGCGACGCCUCGCCGCUGGAUCGGGGACGGCACCGCCGCUCGCCGCUCGGCCACACGUCGCCCCCUGGCCGGCCUUCUUCCAGAGGCCCGACGACGCGCCGCCACAACAAGCCCUCCCCGCCACCUCCCUCCCUGUCUUCCUCAGCUGGACGUCGCCAUGGCGGGCGAUGCUCUGCUCUCCGCCCGCAGCCCCACCCCAUCCCUACCAGAUCGAGCCUCUCUUCUGCAGUUCGUGUCAUCCCGCGGAUCAGGAUUGAGCCCCGCAUCAACUACGGCCAUCUGGUCGUGCGGUGGUGCCGGCGACGAAUGCAUCGAGGAGGCCCAGAUCCACCACUGCCAGCUCCCUUCAAGCUCCCCUCUGUUUCCAUCCCCUACCUUCUACAUCGCCGACUAAAUCCAGGGCGGCCACCUUCCGGCGAGCACCCGAGGCACCCUAGCGUGACCUGAUCCGGAUACUUCGGCCUCCUUGCUGCACUAGCACCGGAUCGCCGGUCAGGCUCCAUCGGGCCGAGGGGAAAAGGAGGUCGGCGAGCUCGAGCCACUGCCGCCGGUGAGAUCCGUGGCGGCCGAUCCGGGGGAGGUCGCUAGGCACGACGACGAUGUUCCCCUCCCUCGCCCUUUUGAAUUCCAACCGAAUUGAGGUCGGCGUGGCCUCGCUGCGUCUGUGGCCUCCGCAUCCUCCCGGCGGUGCGGACGGCUCAUGCAUACAGUGCGCUAGCUGUGCAUGUUCAGUGCGGGUACGCAGUUCCGGCACCAAUUUUUUUGUAUACUCUUUUUAGUUGGCUGGAUGUAUGUAUUUGUGAAGUUCUAUAUUUUCUGAAGAGAGGUUCACUCUCCGAGAAGGAGAAAAAAUGUGUGAUUCGAAUGUUUAAGUGUAUGUCUGAAGUUCACUAUAGUAUCUAGUGAAGUUUUAUAUUUUCUGAAGAGAGGUUCGCUCGCUGAGAAGGUGAGAAAAGUACAGAAAAAUCCCAGCAUGCACUUCUCUUCACCGAGUAAAAUAGAAAAAAAAACAUCUCCAAAAGAAGCUAGCUUCUUAUUAGAUGAAGUUCACACCUCAGUUCCUGCGGUCCACUUGCCUAGAAUACACGCCUAACAAAAGUAUGAAAAAAGACAACAAAAACUCAUGAGGUUCACUUUUGGUAGUAUUGCGGUUCACUUUCGGAACUGUUGCGGUCGACUCUCGUUCAUAAAAAUGUUAAAAAAAGACAACAAAAACUCGUCUGAGAAAAAUUACGUCCGACGAAAAGAAAUUAUGCAGCUCGCUUGCCCGUUCGAUGCAGUGCGAUUUUCAUUUCGAAGCAGUGCGGUCGGCCGUGUGAUGUUCAUCCCGUAAGUGCAAAAAAAUUGUUACGGAAGCGAAAAAAAGUAAUGCGGUUUACUUCUUGUUAGUGUUUUGGUUCAUUUACACCCGAUGUGAAGUGCACUCUACUUUCUCGUCCUUAAACAAAUUACGUUUGAAUAAAAGAAACCAUGCAGUUCUCUUACCCGUCUGAUGCAGUGCGGUUUUUCUGUCCUAUGCAGUGCGGUUUUCAGUCGGAUGAAGUACCCACGUCGAUUUGGGUGUCGCGAAAAACAGAGUGUCCGCAUUUCGGUAAAUUCGAAAUUCCUCUUAAACCGUAAAGAAUUAGAGAGAGUGUUCUACAUGAAAAAGUUGCGCCUCGUCGAUAUCUUUCCAACGGCGUAUCGUUUGAAUCAUUCCGACCAGCGGUUUGUAAAAAUUUCCCGAAAAACGACCGCUGCCACUCGUCGUCCACCGCACGAUUUUCAAAAUUAACUUAAAACCGUAAGGAAUGUCAAAAACAUUUCAACAUAUGAAAGUUGCGCCUCGUCCGUAGGUUUUCAACGAUAUAUUACACGCCUCGUUUCGAUAAACGGUUAGAAAACUGGAGCGAAAACAUUACCGAAAAUUUGAAAAAAUUGAAUUUUUUUGAAAAACAGAAUUCCGCGAUUUAGUAAAUUUGAAGCUGCUCUUAAACCGUAACCAACUAGAGAAAAUAAUAGAUAUGUAAAAGAUGCGUCUCGACGAUAUCUAUCCAACGGUGUAUCAUUUGCCUCAUUCCAACGAGCGGUUUAGAAAAAAACAUAAAAAAUGCUCGCUGCCACUAUUUGUGGUCCGCACCGUUUUUGAAACUGCUCUUAAACCGCGGGGAAUCUCGAAAAGUGUUCAACAUGGCGAAGUUGCGCCUAAUCCGUAGCUUUCCAACGGUAUAUUACACGCCUCGUUCCGAUAAACGGUUAAAAAUUAAAGCAAAAACAGUACCGAAAAAACACUACGCGCAGUUUUUUCCGACGCGAAGUUCACUAGUCUCUGUAAUGCAGUGCUCUUGCUAAAGAAAGUGCAGUGCCCUCGCGUUGAGCAUGCAGUGCGGAAGUGUUAUCAGAAUAGACGGGCUGUAUAUACAACCGGUCUAUUCUGCUAAUAUUAGCAGAAUAACUAUUCUGAUAACACUUCCGCACUACACGCUCAAUGCAAGUGCACGUCAUUGUUUGAACCAAGUGUGUUGCAGUACUGAGGCGAGUGAAUUUCCUGUGGCAAAAAACUGCACGCAGUGUUUUUUCUGGUACUGUUUUCGCUCUAGUUUUUUAACCAUUUGUCGGAACGAGGCGUGUAAUAUACCGUUGAAAAGCUAUGGAUUAGGCGCAACUUCGCGAUGUUGAACACUUUUCGAGAUUCCUCACGGUUUAAGAGCAGUUUUGAAAAUGGUGCGGCCCACAACGAGUGGCAGCGAGCGUUUUUUCGCAUUUUUUUCUAAACCACUCGUAGGAAUGAAGCAAACGAUACACCGUUGGAUAGAUAUCGUCGAGGCACAUCUUUUUCAUAUCUAUUUCUUUCUCUAAUUCAUUACGGUUUAAAAGCAGUUUCAAAUUUACUAAAUCGCGGAAUUCUGUAUUUUAAAAUUUUUCAAAAUUUCGGUACUGUUUUCGCUCCAGUUUUUUAACCGUUUGUCGAAACGAGGCGUGUAAUAUAUCGUUGAAAAGUUAUGGACGAGGUGCAACUUUCAUAUGUUGAAAUGGUUUUGAGAUUCCUAACGGUUUUAAGUUAAUUUUGAAAAUCAUGCGGCGGACGACGAGUGGCAGUGGCCGUUGUUCGCGAAAUUUUUACAAACCGUUGGUCGGAAUGAUUCAAAUGAUACGCCGUUGGAAAGAUAUCGACGAGGCGCAAAUUUUUCAUGUAGAAUACUCUCUCUAAUUCUUUACGGUUUAAGAGGAAUUUUGAAUUUACCGAAAUGCGGACACUCUGUUUUUCGCGACACCAAAAUCGACAUGGGUACUUCAUCUGACUGAAAACCAAACUACAUCGGACGACAAACCGCACUGCAUCAGACGAGUAAGAGAACUGCAUGGUUUCUUUUAUUCAAACGUAAUUUUUUCAAGGACGACAAAGUAGAGUGCACUUCACAUCGGGUGUAAAUGAACCACAACACUAUCAAGAAGUGAACCGCAUUACUUUUUUUCGCUUCCGUAACAAAAAAUUUGCACUUAUCGGAUGAACAACAUCAUACGGUCGACUGCACUGCUUCAGAAUGAAAACCGCACUGCAUCGGACGGGCAAGCGAGCUGCAUAAUUUCUUUUGCUGGACGUUAUUUUUUCUCAUACGAGUUUUUGUUGUCCUUUUUUCAACAAUUUUUAUGAAUGAGAGUGGACCGCAGAGAUGAGGGCAAAUGAACCGCGGCAUAUGUCGAAGUGAACCUCAUUGCUAUCUUGUUGUUUCGUUUAAAAAUGAUCACCAAGGUUUUUACAAAAGUGUAGACUACACAAACCACCAAGGUUUUUUAACAGUGAAAACUGCUUCAUGCUUUCAACAUUCUCUUUUUAGAAAACAGGUCAAAAAAUACAAAAAAACUUCAAACACGAGCCACGCGAGCGCAAGGAGUGCACCAACGGACUGCAUCUAUUUUAUAUACCUUUACUUUUUUUUCUCGCCCAUUCAAGAACAAAGUGAAAAUUUAAAAAAAUCAUCUUUCUUCUGUAGGUCCCUAGUGAACUGCAUGUCCAUGCCCGCACGACGGCCGAACCUUCACGCACCCGAGGGGAAGAAAAGCUCCAGGCGCACUUCAACACCGAGGCAAGCGAACCCCAUCGAGAAGCGGGGGCGAACUGCAUGUGCGUGGGCACACGGCCUUUGUCCUUGCAGUCGGCCGGUAGCAGCUCGUCGUCGAAUGCCCCGUUUGAUGCGUUCAAUUCCCUUCCGAAGACAGCGCAAGAUGGCACCACACAGCCGGCUUGCAUGCGCGUCCUUCCCCUCUUUGCGUUACAGUCUAAAGAAUCAAUCAAGAGAAAUAGAGAAUGAACUAUAACAAAGGAAGAGGGGGCUGGGGUCACACCAGGACUGCCUGGAUGGGUGUGCAGUUCGCAGUCGCCCGUCCUGCGUUUCACUAGCGCCACCGGGAAGGAGCUUUGAGGACAGAGGAGUGUUUUGCCAUGCACAGAGCACUGCAAACGCCGGCUCCAGCGAACUGCACAGCCGCAAGCAGGUGAACCUCACCGCGGCAUCAGCGAACCGCACGGCUGCAACCCGGCGAGCCGCACACGCCAAUCAGGGAACCACACGGCUGCAGUUUCGAGCUGACCGGCGACGCGGGCGAGGUCGUGGCGGAGAUGGGGUGAAGGGGGCGGGGCAAACUGCUUGGGGAUGUAGAAGAGAGCAGCAUCGCGCCGCCGAGAAAGACUGCAUGCACGCUCUUCACGAACUGCACACGCAGCUGUGGAUUGCAGGCCGUCGUCUCAUAGUCCGGUGGUCGGGGACGGCCGAAUCCGUGGCCGCUGGAGCUCUGUCGAACCACACAGAGGGGUGGAGGGGAGGUGAGGCAGGUGUCCCAUUGGCCGGACCCAGCGUCGGAAUCCAGCGCCCCCGGGACCGCCAUCACUGGAAGAUGGAGUCAGAGGCUGGCGGCAGGCGGCGGCACUCGACAGGUCGACGAGGAAAAGAACUGGGGAGGUGACACUCGAUUGCCGAGCGUGGAAAGGAGCUGGGGAGGCGGCUGGUGAGGGGCUCGCCGACGAGGAGCACGUCGGCUCAGCGUGGUGGAGGAGAUCCGGCUGGGCCUCCACGGGAUCCAGCGCGGGGGUUCAACAACGAUGUGCCGAUGCGGGGGCCAUGGCGGGGGAGGAGCCUGAAGAUGGGAAGGCUAGGGCGGGGUGGCACGCCCGAAUCCACGCCGGCAGCCGCGCGGGGCGCCUGGGGAGGCACUCCUGGAUCUAGGCCAGUCAGCAGGGAGCGGGGUGGAGGGCGAUGGCACUGGGGGAGGAAGGAGGUAGGGGGAAGUGGGGGAGACCGGAUCAAGUGCGUUCUCUCGAUGCAGGACCCUGGGAUCUCGACGACAGCUACCGGUUAAGGGAGAGGGAGCCCAUGGUGCAGAGGAAGUGGUGGUGGCCGUGAUGGGAUGUCGGUGGUGGCCGAGACAGGGCGGCGCGUGGUGGUGGNNNNNNNNNNNNNNNNNNNNNNNNNNNNNNNNNNNNNNNNNNNNNNNNNNNNNNNNNNNNNNNNNNNNNNNNNNNNNNNNNNNNNNNNNNNNNNNNNNNNNNNNNNNNNNNNNNNNNNNNNNNNNNNNNNNNNNNNNNNNNNNNNNNNNNNNNNNNNNNNNNNNNNNNNNNNNNNNNNNNNNNNNNNNNNNNNNNNNNNNNNNNNNNNNNNNNNNNNNNNNNNNNNNNNNNNNNNNNNNNNNNNNAAGGGGUGGCGUGGGUGUUGGCCGGGGUGGGGCUGCGGGUGGUGGUGGCCAGGGCGGGGCGGCGCGGGUGGUCGCUUGGGAGGUGGAGGAGGAAGGGGCGUCGAUGGGGGAGAAGGAGGUGGCGGGGAAGAUGAGGUCAAAGGGGCAGGGGCCAGCGAGGAGGUGUUACCAGAAUAAGGCGUAGUGUUAGCAGAAUAAGGGUCUUAAGGGGUGUUAUCAUAAUAGACCCACCAUAUAUAUAUAUUAUAUAUAUAUAUAUAUACAUCUGGGCUAUUCUGUUACGCGUAACAGAAUAUUAUUCUGUUACCCUACUUGAACUGAUGGUUUCAAGCGGUUGUACUGAUGAUUUCAAAGCGGUUGAACUGAUGCUUUCAGUUCUGUUUAACAGAUCGUUUUCUUUAGUUCAAUUUUUUUUUGCAAUUUUUUUGUUGAAACGGGGUGUGUAAUAUAUCGUUGGAAAGCUCUUGACAACUAUAUUUCAGGUAUAUUGAACGUUUUUGCAAAAUCAUUAUGGUUUAAGAGCAGUUUUGAAAAAACCGUUUUUUUAAACCGAAAACGUGAAUCGUAUUUUGGACUCAAUUUUCAAACGGUUUGUCGGAAUUGAGCAAAUAAGAUGGCGUUGAAAAGCUGGUGAAAAUCCGCAUCUUCCAUAUAUCUAUUGUCUUUUCUAAUUCUAUAUGAUUUAAAAGUAAUUUGGAAAACGGUGAAAUUCUGGGCGAAACGUAUUUUCACAAUUUUUUGCAAACGGUUUGUCGGAUGGACGCAAAUGAUACGGCGUUGAAAAGCUAUGGAAAAGCGCAACUUCUUCAUAUUGAAAUGUUUUUCUAAUUCCUUAUGGUUUAAAAAUGAAUUCGAAUACGGUCAAAUUUGAUUUCGAUCGCGUUUUUUUUAAAGUUUGCCGAAAUGAGGCAAAUAAUAUAUCUUUGGGAAGAUAUCGAAAAUACGAAACUUAGUCAUGUUGAACGUUUUCUCAAAUUCGCAACCGUUGAAGAGUAAUUUGGAUUAUGGUGAGACUAGAGUACUUGUACUGAUCUACGUGUGUGUUUGUACUGAUGUAUUUUUCAUAGAGUAAUUUUGAAAGGUUCCAAAAAAAGAGUACUUGAACGGAUGUCCAUAUGGAUUUGUACUGAGCAUGUUUUUGCAGACUUUACUCUGUUUUUUCUGUAUGGUUUUCCUCGUAACUUUUCAACGGUUCGGGAUAUCAUCGUCCCCGAACUUGUAUGGUUUAUACCGUUGAACUGAAUGACAUUUUUUUAAAAGAAAAUGUGUGUUGUGUUUUUUUUGACUAAUUUUUUUCAACGAUAUUCUGGACUUCUCUCAUUUUACGACUUGAACUUUUACUAUUUGAAUUUUCGUGGGGUUUCUUUUUUUUUAGCUUUUUUCCCAAACUUAUCUAGGACGUCGUGUUGAACUUGCAACUUUUUAAAUUGUGAACUUGUUGUGUUUUUACAAUUCCAAAGCUAGAAAAAAAUUCUAAAUUACUGACUCAUUUCAGGAUAUCAGAGAUAAAAAUUGCCAUCACCAAAAUCAAGCAUUAAUCCGAUCAAAGAGAUGAAAUACAUUGACUUAACUUCCAAAAGUAAUACAUGUUCUACGGCCGAUGUAAAGACAUGUAGAAGAACAUUUCUUAGCAAAAUGAACCAUAGACAGUCGGGAUAGUACAAAAUGAACUACCAGUACUGUAGAUAUUAGCAAAUUUGAACUUUUGUGUUUGUACUGACCGUUUUUUCAGGGAUGAGACGUCAUUUUUUUAACUCGCGUAAUAAAAUAGUGGACUUAUAUGUGAGGAUGUUUUGAACGGCCUCCUAUAAAGACAUUGACUUAUAGAACCGAACCUUUUUUGGGAUUACAAUUUUAGAUUUGUUUUCUCGUCCAAACUGACAACACCAUCAGGUCUGAAUUUGCAUGGUUUCACUAGUUGAACUGAUGGACGUUUUCUUUUUGUUUUGUUCAAACUCAAACAUUUUUUGCAAUGAAGGUAUGUACUUCCUUUUGUUUGCAACUUAAUUUUUUUCAUGAUUUUUGUAAUAAAUAUUUGUACUUCUUUUUGUUUUGUUCAAUAAAGAAAACAAUGAUCAUUUGAACUAAUUGAACAAUAACAUGUGAGCUUACAGUAAUUUAUCACUCGAACUUGUAGCAAUAGAUAUAAGAAAUUUGUACGGCCUCCACACCAUUGCAUUGGUGUACUCCGGCGCGAGGAACAAAUCCUGCCAUAUUUGAUACAUACACACGCAUCCUAGUUGACAUUUGUUCUGUGGAAUGUCGAUGCCAUUUAUUGAUUCCAAAAAAGAUAGCAAGAUGGCACAUGGAUUCAAGAUGUACUUAAACCGAAACAAUCCAUAUUUUCUGGUGAAAUUGCAGAGCAGCACAAUAAAGGUUACAUGUUUUCUGUAGUUGAGAGAAACAAGUUCAGAUUAUCAACAGUACACCCACCACGCCAAGUUCUUAACUGAACAUAUGCAUUUGUUUCAGAGAUGGUGUUACAUCCUGUGAUAUAAAUAAAAAUUACAGCAAAAUAAAAAACCUGCAAGAGAAGCAUUUUGCCAAACCAAAAGAUAAUUGAACCAUUGGAUCUUGAGCUGAUGUACUGCAUGCACUUCUUUGUUUGUACGGGAUGCAACUCUCUUUUGUGGUUCAUAUACUGAAGAUCCUUCAAUUCAGUUAUCAACACACCGUAGCAGUCAUGCUUGCCACCUAUCUUUUGGGUGCACUCCCUUGUCAUUUUCUAUUGCUAAUUAGAGCACUUCAGGAGCACCGACUCAUGUGCGAAUGUGUAGCUGGCUUCAGAAUAGACAGUACUCUGGCAAUACCUAUGCAAUUGAGCAACAAGUUCAGAAAAGGAGAAGCAACCAGGAAUCAUUCGCACGAAGAGUACUGAAUAAAAAUAAGAAUUGCACUGAUCUAAAAUUAGUUUUAAACUGAGGGUGUCACUUUGGUGUGUGAUCAUUUCUUGUGAACAUUCAAUUAAACAUGUUUGGUGUCACUUGAUGCAAGAAGGUGGUGUCAAUCAAACAAUAGCUUUAUUUGGCAACAAAGAAACAUCAAGAAGGAUAUUUCAUUUCUUGUAAGCAAAUCAACAAAAACCUUAUUUCACAACAAGUAGAGAUGAAGUAGCAUCACCAGUACAUAUAGGAGACUUGUCGUGGAAUUGUCACGGCAGAUGUCCUUGAGCUAGGACUUAGUCGUGGAGCCAUCGCAGCUAGGAAGCUUGAAGGGGUUAAUGCGGGACAAGGAACACGAGGGUUUAUACUGGUUCGGCCCCUUACGGUGAAGGUAAAAGCCUACGUCCAGUUUGAGGUGGUAUUGAUUAGGGUUACGAUCACCAGGGAGCUAAACUGCUAUGCCCGGCUUUCGAUGAAAUUGUUCUCUGCCUUAAACCGCUGCCGGGUCCUCCCUUUAUAUAGGGAGGCUGACGCCCUGCAGCUCUCAGAGUCCCGGCCGGCUCAUAAGAGUGUCCGGCUCGGACUCUCAACUAUUCUUGCCUUACACUACAAGUUCUAACAUAGUAAGAUUGUAACUACGGGCCUUAAGCCAUAUCCGGAUCUUAAACCCAUCUUUGGCCCAUCGUCUUUAAGCUUGGCGCCGGGCUUCUGGCAAUGACCAUAUGAGUAACCCGGCCCUUUCUGGCGGGUGACUCUAAGGUCUAUAUCCUCAACAAGACUCAUAGGCGAACUCUUAAUAUACAAGCAAAAUAGGACACUAGCUUUGUUUCCACACUUGUAAAAGCAUCACCAAUGCAACCAACAGCAGUACAGAAUCAGUCAUUACACGAGUUCGAUAAUGCCACAACAUGAAAAUAGGAAUGGGGAAGGCCAGACCUUGUCGUUGUGUCAUUGAACGGCCUCGGCUAUCGGCCGUGAACGGACUGUGGCGCCGGCGGUGAACACCACAUUGGAAGAAUGCUCAUGGGUGCGCCUGCCUCUACUCAUGAGCGCCUGCAUCAAUGUGGGUUCAACAUUCUGAACUACUGCAACACUAGCCACCCGCAUCAGAAUAACCUUUUGGUGCAAAACUAUUGUACAAUAAAAACACUCGGUUUUAUUUUGCACACACACACAUAGUACUGUCAUAUGUGUUUUUCACAAACUGAUGAUAGUUCACAUACUAAACUGGCACACCUAGUUUGUGUUUCAGGAAAUAAAAUAGAUGACCUCGAGGCGAGUUUAUGAGGGAGGGUCCAGAGCCUCAGUAUGAUCCGGACCAUGGCUGGAGCUGCGAAUGGUAGUGAAGCUCCACAUCCUCCGUCAUCGGUGAGCUCCGACCAUUGAUCACACGACGGAGCAAGCCAUGUACUGAUGAGAAUUCACAUAUUGAACUGGCACAGCUAGUUUGUGUUUCAGGAAAUAAAAUAGAUGAUAGUUCAUUAUGAUGAUGAUAUUUCAGCAUUUCUCCCCAUGGCAGAAAAUCGCCUGAAUCUUAAAAAGGACUGGAAAUCACAAAAUAAAAUGCAUUCAAGUAGCAAAAUUAGGAAGGGAUCAGAUAACACAUUUUAAUUUGAGCAACUUCUUAGUGGGACAUCACUUACAAUUGCAGCGCUGGUUAACAAUUGUUAGACAUAUUGAUUGCUCAAAUAUAACGUAGGACUGAGAAUUCGUGUUUGUUCAGCAUGAAUUUUGAGAACUAAUUAAUCCCUAGAGGCUGGAUGAUCUUCUAUAGGGGUGAUUACUUGUUCUAUGAUCUCUGUCUUGAUGAGAUGUAAAGACUAGGUUCAGUUCCAAAAAAGUUAUUUAGCUUUCACGAUGGUUUACCGCCCUUUGCUGUGCAUUUCCAAGAUCAAAUGAAGUGUCAAAUGACCUGUUUUCACAAGUGUUGAUGUGGCUGUUGUAUUUCCCAUUAAGUACGACGAGCUGACUGAAGAACAUUUCUGUACUACUGUAUUCAACUUUGAAGCUAAAUGAAAAUUGGUACAUAGAUUAUGACAGUAUGUUACGCUCAAAUUACAGCAAGAUAAUCAGAUGAAAAUACACUUUUGGAUCUGAUAAUAAAUACGAGCAAUUUGGUGUUGUUCUGCCUGUCAUUACAACUACCAUUUUUACAAGCAAACCAAAAUCAUGUGGUCCUAUGGUUUGAUAUUUAACAUGCAGGUUGGCUUGUACACGCUGAGAUGAGUUAUCUAAUAGAUCAUUGCAGCACAUGCUGAGACUUCAAUAUCCAACCAUCAAGCCUGAGCAUUAUCAUGUGCAUUGACUUGUACUACAAUAUCAUGUAAUAGUACAUUUUCAUCAACUCGAUAUUCAUCGGUACUAGUAUGCGUGGACAAUAAGUUCAGAUUUGUAGCAGCACACGCACGAAACUUGCAGAUUUUUUCACUGGACUUGCAGAACUUUGAAACUUGAACUUGACAAAACCGGCGAUCCCUCCCUUGAGCUAGCUGUAUCCUGGCCGCGACCACCACCUGGAUCCAGUACGAGGUGACCACCCGAAGCUGCUCAGGCUACCCGGCGGUGGGGAUCCAGCGGGGGCCUGUUCUGUGGCGAGCAUGGUGGCUUGUUGGCCUGGGCGGCCUACGCGCUUGAUGGUGGUAUACGGUAGGCGGAGCGCGGUGGAGGGAGUGAAGGGAGGGCCGGACAAGGAGAAGGAACGCGGACGGACAGGAGAAGGGUCGCGGACGGAGGGAGGCGGGUGGAUGGACGCGACCAGCAUCCGGUGGACGGAGUUGCCGGUGCUGGGAGGGGUGUGUGGAGGGAUCUGCAUCACCGGUCAUGGUGCGCGUCGUCGGGAGGAACGGCGAGGGGCGUCGCCGUGGAGUGGGGGGUGCGACGCGUCACCAGAGUAGGCGUCGCGCGUUGCCGGGACUUGGGGGAGGCGCGUGGCCAGGAGGUGGGGGAGGCGCGGCGCGUGGACGGGAGGUGGAAGGGGGCGGCACGUCGGCGGGAGGUGGAAGGGGCGGCGCGUCGGCGGGAGGUGGAAGGGGCGGCGCGUCGGCGGGAGCUAGAAGGGGCGGCGCGUCGGCGGAGCUGGAGGGCGCGGCGAUGGGGCAGGGUGUGGCAGGGCGGCGAGGUAAGGGGUGGCGGCGCGCUGGAGGAUUUGGGAUCGGGAGGGAGGUGGGUGGGUUCGGGAAUGGUCGGUCAUGUGUACUGGUUCGGGCCGGUGGGCUGGAUUCGGGACAUCGAGUCGCGCGUCGCUCUUAUAGGGGCGAGGGGUAACAGAAUAAUAUUCUGUUAAUAGUCUAGCCAUAUAUAUAUAUAUGAUAAAAUCAAGUAUGCAAUUAAGGUUCAGCUGCUGGAUCAAAAGUUGAGAUAACUGAAGGAAAUAUGCCCUAGAGGCAAUAAUAAAGUUGUUAUUUAUAUUUUCUUAUAUCAUGAUAAAUGUUUAUUAUUCGUGAUAGAGUUGUAUUAACCGGAAACUUGAUACAUGUGUGAAUACAUAGACAAACAAAGUGCCCUAGUAAGCCUCUACUAGACGAGCUCGUUAAUCAAAGAUGGUUAAGUUUCCUAACCAUAGACAUGUGUUGUCAUUUGACGAACGGGAUCACAUCAUUAGGAGAAUGAUGUGAUGGACAAGACCCAUCCAUUAGCUUAGCAUAAUUGUAUACAUAUUUCUUUAACUAUGAGAUUAUGCAACUCCCGGAUACCGGAGGAAUACCUUGUGUGCUAUCAAACGUCACAAUGUAACUGAGUGAUUAUAAAGAUGCUCUACAGGUAUCUUCGAAGGUGUUUGUUGGGUUGGCAUAGAUCAAGAUUAGGAUUUGUCACUCCGAGUAUCGUAGAGGUAUCACUGGGCCCUCUCGGUAAUGCACAUCAUAAUAAGCCUUGCAAGCAAUGUGACUAAUGAGUUAGUUAUGGGAUGAUGUAUUACAGAACAAGUAAAGAGACUUGCCGGUAACGAGAUUGAACUAGGUAUGAAGAUACCGACGGUCGAAUCUCGGGCAAGUAACAUACCGAUGACAAAGGGAAUAACUUAUGUUGUCAUUGCGGUACGAUCGGUAAAGAUCUUCAUAGAAUAUGUAGGAACCAAUAUGAGCAUCCAGGUUCCGCUGUUGUUUAUUGACCGGAGAGGUGUCUCAGUCAUGUUUACAUAGUUCUCGAACCCGUAGGAUCCGCACGCUUAACGUUCGAUGACGAUUUUGUAUUAUAUGAGUUAUGUGAUUUGGUGACCGAAUGUUUUUCAGAGUCCCGGAUGAGACCACGGACAUGACGAGGAGUCUCUAAAUGGUCGAGAGGUAAAUAUUCAUAUAUAGGAUGAUGAUAUUCGGACACCGGAAGUGUUCCGUGGGUACCGGGUACAUAUCGGGUCACCGAAAAGGGGUUCCGGGCACCCCCGGCAAAGAUAUGGGCCUUAUGGGCCAAGAGAGAGAUAGACCAGCCCCUGGUGGGCUGGAGCGCCCCCAUAUAGGCCGAAAUAGGAGGAGAAGGAAGGAGGGGAAGGGAGAAGGAAAGGGGAGGAUUCGGCCACCCCCUUUCCUUCUCUGCCCCUCUCUUUCCUCCCCACUCCAACACUUAUGGAAGGGGGGAGGCCGACUUGAGGGAGGCGCCCAAGUAGGAUUACUCCUACUUGGGGCGCCCCUUGCUAACCCUCUCCCUCUGCCACCUAUAUAUAUGUGGGGGCACCGCUAGAAUACACAACAUUAAUUCCUAGCCAUGUGCGGUGCCCCACUCCACAGUUUACGCCUCCGGUCAUAUUCACAUAGUGCUUAGGCGAAGUCCUGCGUGGAUCAAUUCACCAUCACCGUCAUCACGCCGUCAUGCUGAAGGAACUCUCCCUCGACACUUUGCUGGAUCAAUAGUUCGAGGGACAUCAUCGAACUGAACGUGUGCAGAACUCGGAGGUGCCGUACGUUCGGUGCUUGAUCGGUCGGAACGAGAAGAAGUUCGACUACAUCAACCGCGUUGUCAAACGCUUCCGCUUUCGGUAUACGAGGGUACGUGGACACACUCUCCCCCUCUCGUUGCUAUUCUUCUCCUAGAUAGAUCUUGCGUGAGCGUAGAAUUUUUUUGAAAUUACAUGCUACGUUUCCCAACGGUGGCAUCCGAGCCAGGUCUAUGCGUAGAUGAUACGCACGAGUAGAACACAAAGAGUUCUAGGCAGUGAUAGUCAUACUGCUUACCACCAACAUCUUAUUUUGAUUCGGCGGUAUUGUUGGAUGAAGCGUCCCGGACCAACCUUACAUGACCACGUUCAUGAGACCGGUUCCACCGACAGACAUGCAACUAGUUUUGCAUAAAGGUGGCUGGCGGGUGUCUGUUUCUCCAACUUUAGUUGAAUUGAAUUUGACUGUGGCCGGUCCUUGUUGAAGGUAAAAACAACAAACUUGAUAAAUCACCGUUGUGGUUUUGAUGCGUAGGUAAGAACGGUUCUUGCUAGAAGCCCAUAGCAGCCACAUAAAACUUGCAACAACAAACUAGAGGAUGUCUAACUUGUUUUUGCAGGGCAUGUUGUGAUGUGAUAUGGUCAAGACAUGAUGUGAUAUACGUUGUUGUAUGAGAUGAUCAUGUUUCGUAAAAGUUAUUUGCAACUGGCAGGAGCCUUAUGGUUGUCGCUUUAUUGUAUGAAAUGCAAACGCCAUGUAAUUGCUUUACUUUACCACUAUGCGUUAGCGAUAGUUGUAGAAGCAAUAGUUGCCGAGAUGACCACGACGCUACGAUGGAGAUCAAGGUGUCAAGCCGGUGACGAUGGAGAUCAUGACGGUGCUUUGGAGAUGGAGAUCAAAGGCACAAGAUGAUGAUGGCCAUAUCAUGUCACAUGUUUUGAUUGCAUGUGAUGUUUAUCUUUUAUGCAUCUUAUUUUGCUUAGUACGGCGGUAGCAUUAUAAGAUUCUCCCUUACUAAAAUUUCAAGGUAUAAGUGUUCUCCCUGAGUAUGCACUGUUGCGACAGUUCGUCGUGCUGAGACACCACGUGAUGAUCGGGUGUGAUAGGCUCAACGUUCACAUACAACGGGUGCAAGACAGUUUUGCACAUGCGGAAUACUCGGGUUAAACUUGACGAGCCUAGCAUGUAUAGACAUGGCCUCGGAACAAUGGAGACCGAAAGGUCGAACGUGAAUCAUAUAGUAGAUAUGAUCAACAUAGAGAUGUUCACCAUUGAAAACUACUCCAUCUACAUGAUGAUCGGACAUGGUUUAGAUGAUUUGGAUCACGUGAUCAUUUAGAUAUCUCGAGGGAUGUCUAUCUAAGUGGGAGUUCUUAAGUAAUAUGAUUAAUUGAACUUAAUUUAUCAUGAACUUAGACCUGAUAGUUUUUGCAUAUCUAUGUUGUAGAUCAAUGGCCCAUGCUUCCAUUCCCUUGAAUUUUAAUGUGUUCCUAGAUAAAUCUAAGUUGAAAGAUGAUGGUAGAAACUACACGGACUGGGUCCGUAACUUGAGGAUUAUCCUCGUUGCUGCAUAGAAGAAUUAUGUCCUUGAUGCACCGCUAGUUGAAAGGCCUGCUGCAGGAGCAGAUGCUGAUGUUAUGAAUGUCUGGCAAGCUUGAUCUGAUGACUACUCGAUAGUUCAGUGUGCCAUUCUUUACGGCUUAGAAUCGGGACUUCAAAGACAUUUUGAACGCCAUGGACCAUAUGAGAUGUUCCAAGUGUUGAAGUUAAUAUUUCAAGCAAAUGCCCGAGUUGAGAGAUAUGAAGUCUCCAACAAGUUCUAUAGCUGCAAGAUGGAGGAGAGCUAUUCUGUCAGUGAACACAUAGUCAAAAUGUCUGGGUAUCAUAAACACUUGACUCAGCUGGGAGUUAAUCUUCCAGAUGAUAGUGUUAUUGAUAGAGUUCUUCAAUCACUACCACCGAGCUAUAAAGGCUGCAUGAUGAACUAUAAUAUGCAAGGGAUGGAGAAGACUAUUCCCGAGCUCUUCGCUAUGCUCAAAGCUGCGGAGGUAGAAAUCAAUAAGGAGCAUCAAGUGUUGAUGGUUAACAAGACCACUAGUUUCAAUAAAAAGGGCAAAGCAAAGAAGGGGAACUUCAAGAAGAAUGGCAAGCAAGUUGCCACUCUCGGGAAGAAGCCCAAAUCUGGACCUAAGCCUGAAACUGAGUGCUUCUACUACAAAGGGACUGGUCACUGAAGCGGAACUAUCCCAAGUAUUUGGCGGAUAAGAAGGAUGGCAAACUAAACAAAGGUAUAUUUGAUAUACAUGUUAUUGAUGUGUACCUUACUAAUGCUCGUAGUAGUGCCUGGGUAUUUGAUGCCGGUUCGGUUGCUCAUAUUUGUAACUCGAAACAGGGGCUACGGAUUAAACGAAGAUUGGCUAAGGACGAGGUGACGACGCGUCGGGAAUGGUUCCAAGGUAGAUGUGAUCGCCGUCGGCACGCUACCUCUACAUCUACGUUCGGGAUUAGUUUUAGACCUGAAUAAUUGGUAUUUGGUGCCAGCGUUGAGCAUGAACAUUAUAUCUAGAUCUUGUUUAAUGCGAGACUGUUAUUCAUUUAAAUCGGAGAAUAAUGGUUGUUCUAUUUAUAUGAAUAAUAUCUUUUAUGGUCAUGCACCCUUGAAGAGUAGUUUAUUUUUGUUGAAUCUCGAUCGUGGUGAUACACAUAUUCAUAAUAUUGAUGCCAAAAGAUGCAAAGUUGAUAAUGAUAGUGCAACAUAUUUGUGGCACUGCCGUUUAGGUCAUAUUGGUGUAAAGCGCAUGAAGAAACUCCAUGCGGAUGGACUUUUGGAAUCACUUGAUUAUGAAUCGUUUGAUGCUUGUGAACCAUGCCUCAUGGGCAAGAUGACUAAAACUCCAUUCUCCGGAAUGACGGAGCGAGCUACUGACUUAUUGGAAAUAAUACAUACCGAUGUAUGCGGUCCAAUGAGUGUUGAGGCUCGCAGCGGGUAUCGUUAUUUUCUGACCUUCACAGAUGAUUUGAGCAGAUAUGGGUAUAUCUACUUAAUUAAACACGAGUCUGAACCAUUUGAAAAGUUCAAAGAAUUUCAGAGUGAAGUGGAGAAUCAUCGUAACAAGAAAUAAAGUUUCUACGAUCUGAUCGCGGAGGCGAAUAUCUGAGUUAUGAGUUUGACCUUCAUUUGAAACAAUGUGGAAUAGUUUCACAACUCACGCCACCUGGAACACCACAGUGUAAUGGUGUGUCCGAACGUCGUAACCGUACUUUAUUAGAUAUGGUGCGAUCUAUGAUGUCUCUUACCAAUUUACCACAAUCGUUUUGGGGUUAUGCAUUAGAGACAACUGCAUUCACUUUAAAUAGGGCACCGUCUAAAUCCGUUGAGACGACACCGUAUGAACUGUGGGUUGGCAAGAAACCUAAGCUGUCGUUUCUUAAAGUUUGGGGUUGCGAUGCUUAUGUGAAAAAGCUUCAACCUGAUAAGCUCGAACCCAAAUCGGAGAAGUGCGUCUUCAUAGGAUACCCAAAAGAAACUGUUGGGUACACCUUCUAUCACAGAUCUGAAGGCAAGAUCUUUGUUGCUAAGAAUGGAUCCUUUAUAGAGAAGGAUUUUCUCUCAAAGAAGUGAGUGGGAGGAAAGUAGAACUUGAUGAGGUAACUGUACCUUCUCUCGAAUUGGAAACUAGCUCAUCACAGAAAACCGUUCCUGUGAUGCCUACACCAACUAGAGAUGAAGCUAAUGAUAAUGAUCAUGAAACUUCAGAUCAAGUUACUACUGAACCUCGUAGGUCAACCAGAGCACGUUCCGAACCAGAGUGGUACGGUAAUUCUGUUCUAGAAGUCAUGUUACUAGACCGUGAGGAACGUACAAACUAUGAGGAAGCGAUGAUGAGCCCAGAUUCCGAUAAAUGGCUUGAGGCCAUGAAAUCUGAGAUAGGAUCCAUGUAUGAGAAAAAAGUGUGGACUUUGGUUGACUUGCCUGAUGAUCGGCAAGCCAUAGAGAAUAAAUGGAUCUUCAAGAAGAAGACUGACGCUGAUGGUAAUGUUACUGUCUACAAAGCUCGACUUGUCGCAAAAGGUUUUUGACAAGUUCAAGGUGUUGACUACGAUGAGAUUCUCUCACUCGUAGCGAUGCUUAAGUCCGUCUGAAUCAUGUUGGCAAUUGCCACAUUUUAUGAAAUCUGGCAAAUGGAUGUCAAAACUGCAUUCCUUAAUGGAUUUCUUAAAGAAGAGUUGUAUAUGAUACAACCAGAAGGUUUUUUUGAUCCUAAAGGUGCUAACAAAGUGUGCAAGCUCCAGCGAUCCAUCUAUGGGCUGGUGCAAGCAUCUCAAAGCUGGAAUAUACGCUUUGAUGAGGUGAUCAAAGCAUAUGGUUUUAUAUAGACUUUCGGAGAAGCCUGUAUUUACAAGAAAGUGAGUGGGAGCUCUAUACCAUUUCUAAUAUUACAUGUGGAUGACAUAUUGUUGAUUGGAAAUAAUGUAGAAUUUCUGGGUAGCAUAAAAGGAUACUUGAAUAAAAGUUUUUCAAUGAAAGACCUCGGUGAAGCUGCUUAUAUAUUGGGCAUCAAUAUCUAUAGAGAUAGAUCAAGAUGCUUAAUUGGACUUUCACAAAGCACAUACCUUGAUAAAGUUUUGAAGAAGUUCAAAAUGAAUCAGUCAAAGAACGGGUUCUUGCCCGUGUUACAAGGUGUGAAGUUGAGUCAGACUCAAUGCCCGACCACUGCAGAAGAUAUAGAGAAAAUGAAAGUCAUUCCCUAUGCCUCAGCCAUAGGUUCUAUCAUGUAUGCUAUGCUAUGUACCAGACCUGAUGUGUGCCUUGCUAUAAGUUUAGUAGGGAGGUACCAAAGUAAUCCAGGAGUGGAUCACUGGACAGCGGUCAAGAACAUCCUGAAGUACCUGAAAGGACUAAGGAUAUGUUUCUCGUUUAUGGAGGAGACAAAGAGCUCGUCGUAAAUGGUUACAUCGAUGCUAGCUUUGACACUGAUCUGGAUGACUCUAAGUCACAAACCAAAUACGUGUUUAUAUUGAAUGGUGGAGCUGUCAGUUGGUGCAGUUCCAAGCAAAGCAUAGUGGCGGAUCUACGUGUGAAGCGGAGUACAUAGCUGCUUCGGAAGCAGCGAAUGAAGGAGUCUGGAUGAAGGAGUUCAUAUCCGAUCUAGGUGUAAUACCUAGUGCAUCGGGUCCAAUGAAAAUAUUUUGUGACAAUACUGGAGCAAUUACCUUGGCGAAGGAAUCUAGAUUUCACAAAAGAACCAAACACAUCAAGAGACGCUUCAACUCCAUCAGUGAUCAAGUCAAGGAGGGAUACAUAGAGAUUUACAAAAUACAUAC